rnacentral:rRNA from 1 species
GAUAAACGCUGGCGGCGCACAUAAGACAUGCAAGUUGAACGGACUUAAUCGAAAUAUUUAUAUUUUGAAGCGGGUAGUGGCGGACUGGUGAGUAACGCGUAAGGAACCUGCCUAUUAGAGGGGAGUAACAGUGAGAAAUCAUUGCUAAUACCGCAUAUGCCAUAGAUAUGACAUGAUAACAGUGGGAAAGGAGCAAUCCGCUAAUGGAUGGCCUUGCGUCUGAUUAGAUAGUUGGUGGGGUAACGGCCUACCAAGUCGACGAUCAGUAGCCGGACUGAGAGGUUGAACGGCCACCUCGGGACUGAGAUACGGCCCAGACUCCUACGGGAGGCAGCAGUCGGGAAUAUUGCGCAAUGGAGGAAACUCUGACGCAGUGACGCCGCGUAUAGGACGAAGGUUUUCGGAGUGUAAAAUAUUGUCGUUAGGGAAGAGAAAGGACAGUACCUACGGAGGAAGCUCCGGCUAACUACGUG